AAAUUGAAGAGUUUGAUCAUGGCUCAGAUUGAACGCUGGCGGCAGGCCUAACACAUGCAAGUCGAACGGUAACAGGAAGCAGCUUGCUGCUUUGCUGACGAGUGGCGGACGGGUGAGUAAUGUCUGGGAAACUGCCUGAUGGAGGGGGAUAACUACUGGAAACGGUAGCUAAUACCGCAUAACGUCGCAAGACCAAAGAGGGGGACCUUCGGGCCUCUUGCCAUCGGAUGUGCCCAGAUGGGAUUAGCUAGUAGGUGGGGUAACGGCUCACCUAGGCGACGAUCCCUAGCUGGUCUGAGAGGAUGACCAGCCACACUGGAACUGAGACACGGUCCAGACUCCUACGGGAGGCAGCAGUGGGGAAUAUUGCACAAUGGGCGCAAGCCUGAUGCAGCCAUGCCGCGUGUAUGAAGAAGGCCUUCGGGUUGUAAAGUACUUUCAGCGGGGAGGAAGGGAGUAAAGUUAAUACCUUUGCUCAUUGACGUUACCCGCAGAAGAAGCACCGGCUAACUCCGUGCCAGCAGCCGCGGUAAUACGGAGGGUGCAAGCGUUAAUCGGAAUUACUGGGCGUAAAGCGCACGCAGGCGGUCUGUCAAGUCGGAUGUGAAAUCCCCGGGCUCAACCUGGGAACUGCAUUCGAAACUGGCAGGCUAGAGUCUUGUAGAGGGGGGUAGAAUUCCAGGUGUAGCGGUGAAAUGCGUAGAGAUCUGGAGGAAUACCGGUGGCGAAGGCGGCCCCCUGGACAAAGACUGACGCUCAGGUGCGAAAGCGUGGGGAGCAAACAGGAUUAGAUACCCUGGUAGUCCACGCCGUAAACGAUGUCGACUUGGAGGUUGUGCCCUUGAGGCGUGGCUUCCGGAGCUAACGCGUUAAGUCGACCGCCUGGGGAGUACGGCCGCAAGGUUAAAACUCAAAUGAAUUGACGGGGGCCCGCACAAGCGGUGGAGCAUGUGGUUUAAUUCGAUGCAACGCGAAGAACCUUACCUGGUCUUGACAUCCACGGAAGUUUUCAGAGAUGAGAAUGUGCCUUCGGGAACCGUGAGACAGGUGCUGCAUGGCUGUCGUCAGCUCGUGUUGUGAAAUGUUGGGUUAAGUCCCGCAACGAGCGCAACCCUUAUCCUUUGUUGCCAGCGGUCCGGCCGGGAACUCAAAGGAGACUGCCAGUGAUAAACUGGAGGAAGGUGGGGAUGACGUCAAGUCAUCAUGGCCCUUACGACCAGGGCUACACACGUGCUACAAUGGCGCAUACAAAGAGAAGCGACCUCGCGAGAGCAAGCGGACCUCAUAAAGUGCGUCGUAGUCCGGAUUGGAGUCUGCAACUCGACUCCAUGAAGUCGGAAUCGCUAGUAAUCGUGGAUCAGAAUGCCACGGUGAAUACGUUCCCGGGCCUUGUACACACCGCCCGUCACACCAUGGGAGUGGGUUGCAAAAGAAGUAGGUAGCUUAACCUUCGGGAGGGCGCUUACCACUUUGUGAUUCAUGACUGGGGUGAAGUCGUAACAAGGUAACCGUAGGGGAACCUGCGGUUGGAUCACCUCCUUA
rnacentral:rRNA from 1 species